ACAGUUGCUCAUUCAACUUCUUAUGUCGGUCCACAGUAGGGUGGAGAUAUACCACAUAAACUAUCGAAUGAUGCCAGAGUAAGGUGCCUACCGUCCAACUUAGUGAUAUCGCUUUCAGGCCUUAUCAAACAUCGGGCGACACGUGGAGUGAGGCACCAACCUAUGUUUGACUGUAGAUAAAAACAGCAGGCAUGCGUUAUCCU
rnacentral:ribozyme from 1 species